rnacentral:rRNA from 1 species
GACGAACGCUGGCGGCGUGCUUAACACAUGCAAGUCGAACGGAAAGGCCCUGCUUUUGUGGGGUGCUCGAGUGGCGAACGGGUGAGUAACACGUGAGUAACCUGCCCUUGACUUUGGGAUAACUUCAGGAAACUGGGGCUAAUACCGGAUAGGAGCUCCUGCUGCAUGGUGGGGGUUGGAAAGUUUCGGCGGUUGGGGAUGGACUCGCGGCUUAUCAGCUUGUUGGUGGGGUAGUGGCUUACCAAGGCUUUGACGGGUAGCCGGCCUGAGAGGGUGACCGGCCACAUUGGGACUGAGAUACGGCCCAGACGACUACGGGAGGCAGCAGUGGGGAAUAUUGCACAAUGGGCGGAAGCCUGAUGCAGCAACGCCGAGUGCGGGAGGACGGCCUUCGGGUUGUAAACCGCUUUCGCCUGUGACGAAGCGUGAGUGACGGGAAUGGGUAAAGAAGCACCGGUGAACUACGU